GCGGGAAUAGCUCAGUUGGUAGAGCAUAACCUUGCCAAGGUUGGGGUCGGGAGUUCGAGUCUCCUGUCCCGCU
rnacentral:tRNA from 1 species